rnacentral:pre_miRNA from 17 species
CAGAGCUGUGGAGUGUGACAAUGGUGUUUGUGUCCAAACUAUCAAACGCCAUUAUCACACUAAAUAGCUACUGC